rnacentral:rRNA from 1 species
AGUGAACGCUGGCGGCAGGCCUAACACAUGCAAGUCGAGCGGCAGCGCGGUGUAGCAAUACACUGGCGGCGAGCGGCGGACGGGUGAGGAAUGCGUCGGAAUCUGCCUCUUUGUGGGGGAUAACGUAGGGAAACUUACGCUAAUACCGCAUACGACCUACGGGUGAAAGUGGGGGACCUUCGGGCCUCACGCAGAGAGAUGAGCCGACGCCGGAUUAGCUAGUUGGCGGGGUAAAGGCCCACCAAGGCGACGAUCCGUAGCUGGUCUGAGAGGAUGAUGAGCCACACUGGAACUGAGACACGGUCCAGAAUCCUACGGGAGGCAGCAGUGGGGAAUAUUGGACAAUGGGCGCAAGCCUGAUCCAGCCAUGCCGCGUGUGUGAAGAAGGUCUUCGGAUUGUAAAGCACUUUAAGUUGGGAGGAAGGGCAGUAAGCUAAUACCUUGCUGUUUUGACGUUACCGACAGAAUAAGCACCGGCUAACUCUGUGCCAGCCGCCGCGGUAAUAC